AAGCAGCGGAGCAUGUGGCUUAAUUCGAAGCAACGCGAAGAACUUACCAGGGCUUGACAUCCCUCUGACAGUCCCUUAACCGGGACCUUCUUCGGACAGAGGAGACAGGUGGUGCAUGGUUGUCGUCAGCUCGUGUCGUGAGAUGUUGGGUUAAGUCCCGCAACGAGCGCAACCCCUAUUGUUAGUUGCCAUCAUUCAGUUGGGCACUCUAGCGAGACUGCCGGUAAUAAACCGGAGGAAGGUGGGAUGACGUCAAAUCAUCAUGCCCCUUAUGACCUGGGCUACACACGUGCUACAAUGGUUGGUACAACGAGUUGCGAGUCGGUGACGGCGAGCUAAUCUCUUAAAGCCAAUCUCAGUUCGGAUUGUAGGCUGCAACUCGCCUACAUGAAGUCGGAAUCGCUAGUAAUCGCGGAUCAGCACGCCGCGGUGAAUACGUUCCCGGGCCUU
rnacentral:rRNA from 1 species